rnacentral:tRNA from 1 species
GGCGCCGUGGCUUAGUUGGUUAAAGCGCCUGUCUAGUAAACAGGAGAUCCGUGAGUUCAAAUCUCGCCGGAGCCU